rnacentral:rRNA from 1 species
GACGAACGCUGGCGGCGUGCCUAAUACAUGCAAGUCGAACGCUGAAGAGAGGAGCUUGCUCUUCUUGGAUGAGUUGCGAACGGGUGAGUAACGCGUAGGUAACCUGCCUGGUAGCGGGGGAUAACUAUUGGAAACGAUAGCUAAUACCGCAUAAAAUGGAUUAUCGCAUGAUAAUCCAUUGAAAGGUGCAAAUGCAUCACUACUAGAUGGACCUGCGUUGUAUUAGCUAGUUGGUGGGGGAACGGCCCACCAAGGCGACGAUAGGUAGCCGGCCUGGAAGGAUGACGAGCCACACUGGAACUGAGACACGGUCCGGACUCCACGGGGAGGAGGAAGUGGGGAAUAUUGGACAAUGACCGCAGUCCGGCUGAAGCACGCCGGCGUAGGUGAAGAAGGCCUCCGGGCGGAAAGGUCUGUUGGUAGGGAAGGAAAAGUAGCAGGGUGAAAAGUUCACGUUCUGACGGUACCUAAACAAUAAGCAACGGCUAACUACGUG